GCUGAAAUGAAGAAAACAGCCCUCAGUGGACAGUCAAACUUUACUCAGUGCAGACGUUCUGGAGGAAUUAUAACCUUGCUAAAACAAUCGCAUGAAGACACAUGGAGGCUGCGGUACAGUGUGGUUCAGGGUUUGGCACAGAUCAGCCGCAGGAUCACGCUUCAGGAUGGUUUGAGGAACACAGCCUGGUUAACGCUGCAGAAGCACCUGAAGCAGGAGACAGACCCCCGUGUCAUGAAUGUUGUGAGGAUCACUGAGGGUGAUAAAAGGCUUCUGGAAAACCACAGAGAGAGGAUGAGAAGUUCCCACACAGUUGAAGUGUGCAUAUGUGCACAGAGCGAGCGGAUCACUGGUCGGCUAGCACACUCUCUUUCCCAGAUCUGCUCUCCAGUUCAGCUCACUACUCAUUCUGCAGACCACCGGCACAGAAUAAAAACCACCAAACCCAGGAAAGAGGCAGUUUCCGCAGCCAGGGCCGGAAGAGGCCGCCCUGAACUGAUCACACCCCACUCCAUUACGAAAGACCAUCACAAGACACCAAGGUUAUUGGCUUCUCUUCUAAAAAAUUGCAUCUGCUACACUAACAGAAAAGUACUGUACAUCACGGGAAUACCAUAUUUUUGAAAGAAGUUUCUUAUGCUCACCAAGCUGCAUUCAUUUGAUCAAAAAUACAGUAAAAGCAGUAAUAUUGUGAAAUAGUAUCACAAACUGUGUUCUGUUUUAUUAUCUUUUAAAAUGUCAUUUAUUCCUGAUGACUCAUCUGAAUCUUCAGCACCCAU
rnacentral:lncRNA from 1 species